UGGGGAAUAUUGCACAAUGGGCGAAAGCCUGAUGCAGCAACGCCGCGUGAGUGAUGAAGGCCUUCGGGUUGUAAAGCUCUGUCUUUUGGGACGAUAAUGACGGUACCAAAGGAGGAAGCCACGGCUAACUACGUGCCAGCAGCCGCGGUAAUACGUAGGUGGCAAGCGUUGUCCGGAUUUACUGGGCGUAAAGGAUGCGUAGGCGGAUUUUUAAGUGAGAUGUGAAAUACCCGGGCUUAACUUGGGUGCUGCAUUUCAAACUGGGAAUCUAGAGUGCGGGAGAGGAGAAUGGAAUUCCUAGUGUAGCGGUGAAAUGCGUAGAGAUUAGGAAGAACACCAGUGGCGAAGGCGAUUCUCUGGACCGUAACUGACGCUGAGGCAUGAAAGCGUGGGUAGCAAACAGGAUUAGAUACCCUGGUAGUCCACGCCGUAAACGAUGAGUACUAGGUGUAGGAGGUAUCGACCCCGUUCUGUGCCGCAGUUAACACAAUAAGUACUCCGCCUGGGAAGUACGAUCGCAAGAUUAAAA
rnacentral:rRNA from 1 species